UCCCGUUGAUCCUGCGGGAGGUCGCUGCUAUUAGGAUUCGACUAAGCCAUGCAAGUCAAGGGGUUCCUUCGGGAACACCGGCAGAAUGCUCAGUAACACGUCGAUAAUCUACCCUUAGGUCAGGGAUAACUUCGGAAAACUGAAGCUAAUACCUGAUACGAGAAUUUUCCUGGAAUGGUUUUUCUUUGAAAGAUUACGCCUAAGGACGAGUCGGCGGCCGAUUAGGCUGUUGGUGAGGUAACGGCUCACCAAACCUUUGAUCGGUAGGGGCCUUGAGAGAGGUAGCCUCGAGAAGGGUACUGAGAAACUGACCCUAGCCCUACGGGGUGCAGCAGGCGCGAAACCUUUACAAUACACGAAAGUGUGAUAAGGGAAUCCUAAGUGCUUAUGUUUUGCAUAAGCUUUUAUUAAGAGUAAAAAUCUUGAUGAAUAAGUGGUGGGUAAGACUGGUGCCAGCAGCCGCGGUAACACCAGCGCCACGAGUGGCGGCCAUUUUUAUUGGGCCUAAAGCGUCCGUAGCCUGUUUAGUAAAUCUUCUGUGAAAUCAUUAGGCUUAACUUAACGAUGUGCAGGGGACACUGCUAAACUAGGAACCGGGAGGAGUCAGAGGAAUUUUGGGGGGCACGGUAAAAUGUGAUCAUCCCCAGAGGACCACCUGUGGCGAAGGCGUCUGACUAGAACGGGUUCGACGGUGAGGGACGAAAGCUAGGGGAGCAAACCGGAUUAGAUACCCGAGUAGUCCUAGCUGUAAACGCUGCGAGUUAGGUGUUACAUAUUCUCCGAGAAUAUGUAGUGUCGAAGUGAAGACGUUAAACUCGCCGCCUGGGAAGUAUAGUCGCAAGACCGAAACUUAAAGGAAUUGGCGGGGGAGCGCUACAAGGGGUGCGGCGUGCGGUUUAAUCUAACUCCACACAGAAAAUCUCACCAGAGGCGACGGCAGAAUGAAAGUCAGUCUGAAGGGCUUACUAGACAAGCCGAGAGGUGGUGCAUGGCCGCCGUCAGCUCGUGCUGUAAAGUGUCCAUUUAAGUAUGGUAACGAGCGAGACCUGUACCCACAAUUGCUAGCAACUCUAUCAGAGGAUUGAGCACAUUGUGGGGACUGCCUUGGAAACAAGGAGGAAGGUGCAGGCUACGGUAGGUCUGUAUGCCCCGAAUCCUCUGGGCAACACGCGCGCAACAAUGGUAGGGACAAUGGGAUACAACUCCGAAAGGAGAAGUUAAACCUCUAAACCCUAUCUUAGUCCAGAUUGAGGACUGUAAUUCGUCCUCAUGACGAUGGAAUCCCUAGUAAUCGGAUGUCAACAGCAUCCGGUGAAUAUGUCCCCGCUCCUUGCACACACCGCCCGUCAAACCACUCGAGCAGGGUUUAGGUAAGCAUUAGUUUUUUUGAUUAGUGCAAAUCUAAGUUCAGUGAGAUGGGUUAAGUCGUCACAAGGUA
rnacentral:rRNA from 1 species